GAGCGAGGGAGGAGCUUCCUCCUUCAACUCUGGUUAUUGCAGUCUCCAGCAUUCAGAUGUAACAACCCAGAAAUGGAACCUCAGGUGUUGAGAAAAAGGCAUCAUCCACAUCCAGAGUUUGGAGCUCCUCGUGAGUUGUAAAGAAAAGCAAGAACAAACAGUCUUCUGCACCAAUGUUCUUGAGCCAAUGCAACGUGUUGCGGGGGAAGAAGAUGACUUGGCCAGAUGUGACAAUGUAGGUAGUGACUGUGUUUCCACCGGCAUCGACAACACCAAUCCACGCAGUGCCCUGAAAAAUGCAGGUUGAGGCAGAACCAUGAUUUCUGUAUCAAGCUAACAUGCUAGCACCUAUUUAUUGCCAGUUAUAGUUCUCAAUAUUUAGCUUUUUAUUAAUAACUUAAUUUGAACGUUUUUUUAAAAAUGUAAUUUAAAAUGUA